CGGACCGGCGGCACGGGUGAGUAACGCGUAUGUAAUCUACCUGUAACAGAGGGAUAACCCGGAGAAAUCCGGACUAAUACCUCAUAGCACAUAUUAUUCGCAUGAAUUUUAUGUUAAAGAGACUCGGUUACAGAUGAACAUGCGUUCCAUUAGCUAGUUGGCGGGGUUACGGCCCACCAAGGCAACGAUGGAUAGGGGUUCUGAGAGGAAGGUCCCCCACACUGGUACUGAGACACGGACCAG
rnacentral:rRNA from 1 species